rnacentral:rRNA from 1 species
AAGUAAAAGUUGUAACAAGGUUUCAGUAGGUGAACGUGCGGAAGGAUCAUUACCGAGUGAGGGCCCUAUGGGUCCAACCUCCCACCCGUGUCUAUCGUACCUUGUUGCUUCGGCGGGCCCGCCGUUUCGACGGCCGCCGGGGAGGCCUUGCGCCCCCGGGCCCGCGCCCGCCGAAGACCCCAACAUGAACGCUGUUCUGAAAGUAUGCAGUCUGAGUUGAUUAUCGUAAUCAGUUAAAACUUUCAACAACGGAUCUCUUGGUUCCGGCAUCGAUGAAGAACGCAGCGAAAUGCGAUAAGUAAUGUGAAUUGCAGAAUUCAGUGAAUCAUCGAGUCUUUGAACGCACAUUGCGCCCCCUGGUAUUCCGGGGGGCAUGCCUGUCCGAGCGUCAUUGCUGCCCUCAAGCACGGCUUGUGUGUUGGGCCCCCGUCCCCCUCUCCCGGGGGACGGGCCCGAAAGGCAGCGGCGGCACCGCGUCCGGUCCUCGAGCGUAUGGGGCUUUGUCACCUGCUCUGUAGGCCCGGCCGGCGCCAGCCGACACCCAACUUUAUUUUUCUAAGGUUGACCUCGGAUCAGGUAGGG